GAAUGUUUUGUCCUAGCUAUGGGAAAAAGCUGGUUGAGGAGUCACCAAACUUUUGCAGCGGCUGUGGCGAGAGGCUUUAUCACGCAUCUUGCAUCGGAGACACUUCACUCCCAUUGACAUCACAGACUACCUCAAACUGCCCAACUCCAACCUUCAGCACCUUCUUAGAAUACA